rnacentral:rRNA from 1 species
GUGGGGAAUUUUGGACAAUGGGCGCAAGCCUGAUCCAGCAAUGCCGCGUGCAGGAAGAAGGCCUUCGGGUUGUAAACUGCUUUUGUACGGAACGAAACGGUCCGGGUUAAUACCCUGGGCUAAUGACGGUACCGUAAGAAUAAGCACCGGCUAACUACGUGCCAGCAGCCGCGGUAAUACGUAGGGUGCAAGCGUUAAUCGGAAUUAUUGGGCGUAAAGCGUGCGCAGGCGGUUUUGUAAGACAGGCGUGAAAUCCCCGGGCUCAACCUGGGAAUUGCGCUUGUGACUGCAAGGCUGGAGUGCGGCAGAGGGGGAUGGAAUUCCGCGUGUAGCAGUGAAAUGCGUAGAUAUGCGGAGGAACACCGAUGGCGAAGGCAAUCCCCUGGGCCUGCACUGACGCUCAUGCACGAAAGCGUGGGGAGCAAACAGGAUUAGAUACCCCUGUAGUCC